AUCUUCCGCAAUGGACGAAAGUCUGACGGAGCAACGCCGCGUGAGUGAUGAAGGUUUUCGGAUCGUAAAACUCUGUUGUUAGGGAAGAACAAGUACCGUUCGAAUAGGGCGGUACCUUGACGGUACCUAACCAGAAAGCCACGGCUAACUACGUGCCAGCAGCCGCGGUAAUACGUAGGUGACAAGCGUUGUCCGGAAGUAUUGGGCGUAAAGGGCGCGCAGGCGGUUUCUUAAGUCUGAUGUGAAAGCACCCGGCUCGACCGGGGAGGGUCAUUGGAAACUGGGGAGCUUGAGUGCAGAAGAGGAGAGUGGAAUUCCACGUGUAGCGGUGAAAUGCGUAGAGAUGUGGAGGAACAACAGUGGCGAAGGCGACUCUCUGGUCUGUAACUGACGCUGAGGCGCGAAAGCGUGGGGGGCGAACAG
rnacentral:rRNA from 1 species